GGUUAGAAGAUGGCCCCACCAUCCUGACCUGGAUAAGCUGGUGAAAGAUGGAUGGAUGUUAAUCGAAGCAGAAAAUGUUAUUUACCAGCAGGUGCCCCUGAAAAUGCAGAGGAUGGAAGAAUUGUGAAUGAGCUGGCAGCCCAGUAAUGGCUUCUGCCUCAUACUGUUGGAACGAAAACACGUGAAGGAAUCACUCACAAGCCCCUGGCUGCUGCCACACUAAUGCUGAUCACGGUAAUGCUCCGACUCAGUGUUUUGUGAUAAAUUACACAAUACUGCUCUGUAUACAGUGAUCACCCUGGAUCCCAUGAAUAGUAAGACACCACAACACUGU